GCCUGGGUGGCGCAGUCGGUUAAGCGUCCGACUUCAGCCAGGUCACGAUCUCGCGGUCCGUGAGUUCGAGCCUCACUUCAGGCU
rnacentral:tRNA from 1 species